GUGCAGCAGUCGCGAAAACUCCGCAAUACGCGAAAGCGUGACGGGGCUACCCCGAGUGUCGUCCGCUGAGGACGACUUUUCCACGCUGUAAGGAGGCGUGGGAAUAAGGAGAGGGCAAGUCUGGUGUCAGCCGCCGCGGUAAUACCAGCUCUCCGAGUGGUAGGGACGAUUAUUGGGCUUAAAGCGUCCGUAGCCGGCUCAGCAAGUCUCCCGUUAAAUCCAACGAUUCAAUCGUUGGACUGCGGGAGAUACUGUUGAGCUAGGAGGCGGGAGAGGCCGACGGUAUUCCCGGAGUAGGGGUGAAAUCUUAUAAUUCCGGGAGGACCACCAGUGGCGAAGGCUGUCGGCUAGAACGCGCUCGACGGUGAGGGACGAAAGCUGGGGGAGCGAACCGGAUUAGAUACCCGGGUAGUCC
rnacentral:rRNA from 1 species